AACGAACGCUGGCGGCAGGCCUAACACAUGCAAGUCGAGCGGAUGAAGAGAGAUUGCACUCUGAUUCAGCGGCGGACGGGUGAGUAAUGCCUAGGAAUCUGCCUGGUAGUGGGGGACAACGUUUCGAAAGGAACGCUAAUACCGCAUACGUCCUACGGGAGAAAGUGGGGGAUCUUCGGACCUCACGCUAUCAGAUGAGCCUAGGUACGAUUAGCUAGUUGGUGAGGUAAAGGCUCACCAAGGCGACGAUCGUUAACUGGUCUGAGAGGAUGAUCAGUCACACUGGAAAUGAGACACGGUCCAGACUCCUACGGGAGGCAGCAGUGGGGAAUAUUGGACAAUGGGCGAAAGCCUGAUCCAGCCAUGCCGCGUGUGUGAAGAAGGUCUUCGGAUUGUAAAGCACUUUAAGUUGGGAGGAAGGGCAGUAAGUUAAUACCUUGCUGUUUUGACGUUACCGACAGAAUAAGCACCGGCUAACUUCGUGCCAGCCGCCGCCGUAACAC
rnacentral:rRNA from 1 species